UUCCAUUUGCAUUAGUUAGAAAAGAUAUUAAUAUACAUAAAAUCUAUUUAGUUUCAACAAAUAAAUAAGAUAUGAAUUUACUGUAUACAUAUGCAUGGUACUUACUUUUAGAACACUUUGAGCAGGUUUAAAUAGGGUGCACCGCAUAAAUUCACAAACAUAGUAUCCACGUAGAUUCGUUCCAAACGGCUGCGUGGGCACCCAAGGGAGUAGAACAGGAGGAGGAAGUGACACAUUCAGAUCCGUACA
rnacentral:lncRNA from 1 species